CACAUCAACAGUAAGAGCCUUAAUCAAAGCAGUUCGUCGUCUCUUGAAAUCCCCAAACACAUCUUCCACAGUUCGGGAAUCAAACUGUUCUCCUCCUCCACCGGCGUCCAUUAAUCAGAAGAGCAACCUCGAAGGAAAUUCGCAGGAAAAUGAGAGUGGCGUACGGCUGCAGAGUUCAAAGGGGGGGAAAGAGAGGGAGGAGGGG
rnacentral:misc_RNA from 1 species